rnacentral:rRNA from 1 species
UACGAAGGGUGCAAGCGUUACUCGGAAUUACUGGGCGUAAAGCGUGCGUAGGCGGUUCGUUAAGUCUGUCGUGAAAGCCCUGGGCUCAACCUGGGAAUUGCGAUGGAUACUGGCGAGCUAGAGUACGGUAGAGGAUGGUGGAAUUCCCGGUGUAGCGGUGAAAUGCGUAGAGAUCGGGAAGAACGCCAAGGGCGAAGGCACUCUGCUAGGCCUGAUUUCGCGACUGACACUCAGGGACGAGAGCCAGGGGAGCGAAUGGG